UACGGAGGGUGCAAACGUUGCUCGGAAUUAUUGGGCGUAAAGGGCUCGUAGGCGGUUUGUCGCGUCGGGAGUGAAAACCUUGGGCUUAACUCAGGGCUUGCUUUCGAUACGGGCAGACUAGAGGUAUGCAGGGGAGAACGGAAUUCCUGGUGUAGCGGUGGAAUGCGCAGAUAUCAGGAGGAACACCGGUGGCGAAGGCGGGUCUCUGGGCCGAUACUGACGCUGAGGAGCGAAAGCGUGGGGAGCGAACAGG
rnacentral:rRNA from 1 species